CCUACGGGGGUCAGCAGUGAGGAAUAUUGGUCAAUGGACGAGAGUCUGAACCAGCCAAGUAGCGUGAAGGAUGACUGCCCUAUGGGUUGUAAACUUCUUUUAUCAAGGAAUAAAACGAGGCACGUGUGCCUUUUUGCAUGUACUUUAUGAAUAAGGAUCGGCUAACUCCGUGCCAGCAGCCGCGGUAAUACGGAGGAUGCGAUCGUUAUCCGGAUUUAUUGGGUUUAAAGGGUGCGUAGGCGGGCUGUUAAGUCAGCGGUAAAAGCCCGGGGCUAAACCCCGGCGAGCCGUUGAAACUGGCUGUCUUGAGAUGUCGAGAGGUAUGCGGAAUGCGCAGUGUAGCGGUGAAAUGCUUAGAUAUUGCGCAGAACUCCGAUUGCGAAGGCAGCAUACCGGCGCUCAACUGACGCUCAUGCACGAAAGCGUGGGUAUCGAACAGGAUUAGAUACCCGGGUAGUC
rnacentral:rRNA from 1 species